rnacentral:rRNA from 1 species
GCCUACACUUGCAAGUCGAGCGGAAACAGAAAGUAGCUUGCUACUUAGAUGUCGAGCGGCGGACGGGUGAGUAAUGCUUGGGGAACUGCCCAGUCGAGGGGGACAACUAUUGGAAACGAUAGCUAAUACCGCAUACGCCCUACGGGGGAAAGGAGGGGACUCUUCGGAGCCUUUCGCGAUUGGAUGUACCCAAGUGGGAUUAGCUAGUUGGUGAGGUAAUGGCCCACCAAGGCGACGAUCCCUAGCUGGUUUGAGAGGACGAUCAGCCACACUGGAACUGAGACACGGUCCAGACUCCUACGGGAGGCAGCAGUGGGGAAUAUUGCACAAUGGGCGCAAGCCUGAUGCAGCCAUGCCGCGUGUAUGAAGAAGGCCUUAGGGUUGUAAAGUACUUUCAGCGAGGAGGAAAGGUUAGUAGUUAAUAACUGCUAGCUGUGACGUUACUCGCAGAAGAAGGACCGGCUAACUCCGUGCCAGCAGCCGCGGUAAUACGGAGGGUCCGAGCGUUAAUCGGAAUUACUGGGCGUAAAGCGUACGCAGGCGGUUUGUUAAGCGAGAUGUGAAAGCCCCGGGCUCAACCUGGGAACUGCAUUUCGAACUGACAAACUAGAGUUUUGUAGAGGGUGGUAGAAUUUCAGGUGUAGCGGUGAAAUGCGUAGAGAUCUGAAGGAAUACCAGUGGCGAAGGCGGCCACCUGGACAAUAACUGACGCUCAUGUACGAAAGCGUGGGGAGCUAACGGG